GGAAAAGGAACUUCUCCUAAGUGCCGACACGUCGUGUGUCGAACGGAGAAGCCACAACGUCCUGUUGA
rnacentral:sRNA from 1 species